UUUGGACAUGGGCGCAAGCCUGNCCAGCCAUGCCGCGUGGGUGAUGAAGGCCUUAGGGUUGUAAAGCCCUUUCGGCGGGGAAGAUAAUGACGGUACCCGCAGAAGAAGCCCCGGCUAACUUCGUGCCAGCAGCCGCGGUAAUACGAAGGGGGCUAGCGUUGCUCGGAAUCACUUGGGCGUAAAGCGCACGUAGGCGGGUUCUUAAGUCAGGGGUGAAAUCCUGGAGCUCAACUCCAGAACUGCCUUUGAUACUGAGGACCUCGAGUUCGGGAGAGGUGAGUGGAACUGCGAGUGUAGAGGUGAAAUUCGUAGAUAUUCGCAAGAACACCAGUGGCGAAGGCGGCUCACUGGCCCGAUACUGACGCCGAGGUGCGAAAGCGUGGGGAGCAAACAGGAUUAGAUACCCUGGUAGUCCACGCCGUAAACGAUGGAUGCUAGCCGUUGGCGGGUUUACCCGUCAGUGGCGCAGCUAACGCUUUAAGCAUCCCGCCUGGGGAGUACGGUCGCAAGAUUAAAACUCAAAAGAAUUGACGGA
rnacentral:rRNA from 1 species